GUCCCGGCUCCUCCUCCGCGCUCUGCCGCUAUUCCACGCGCUCUGCCUUCUGCAUCGCUGUUCUCAUGGUGUUUACCCCCUACUCCACCGUGGUGCACAGAUGCUUCACUGUCCUGCUCCUUCAUUUAUAAGCCCACCUCGACUCCAGAGACCCACGCCUGCGGCAGGGAGAGCAAGUCCUUCAUCCCUGCGCAGAGGACGACUGCCGCAGCGUCUAGUGCUUUCUUUGGGGAGGAAGGAGCUCUCUCAGGAAUCAGAGGACCAAAAUAAAUUACAUAAAUGGAGUUAAUCAAGACGAAAAAUUUCCAAAGAGUAACCUUGUUUUAAUGGAGCUGAUUUUGCUGAUGUCAAGUAAAGACACAGAGAGGGAUAACAGACCAUUUGUUGGGAAAGACGCUGGGCACUGCUCCUCCUGCUCUGACUGCCCAGGACUGCUCAGAUGAGGCCAUCACAUUGAUCCUGGUUCAGAAGAUCUCGUUGCAGGAGAGGAAGGAGUGUAGAAACUGCUGAGUGAAAGGGAACAGGAGCACAUUUAGGCUUUGAUUUAAAACCAGUGGACCUCUUCACUACUUGCAGCUUGUGCCAGCCUUUUCUGCCAGUAUAAAGGAAGGACAAAAUAUAUUUCUCCUUUGACACGCAACCUCUUCUGAUGCAGCAGCAGAAGGUGCAGACGGCUGCCUGGCACGUGCCUGCGCUUUGUUUACAGGAGCAUGUCCAGGGGACGCCGCACCGCUGACGCUAAUUAACACCCCGAAUGUCACUUUCUUCCUGCUUCACGUCACUCAUUAUGUGAUGCUGCUAAUGGGAAAACCAGAAUUCAGGGGAGAACUUCAUGCCUGAAUUUUGAGCUGUAGCAAAGAUGAGGUGCCUGCAGUCUGAGACAGAAUUUUUCAGAUAUCUGCAUUUUGCUUGACUGAGUGCGAGGGACCAGCCUGAGCCGCCUGGAGCACCCGCGGCUCUGGUUAAAGGAACCCCCGGUCUGCACUCUCUUACUUGCAUUCCAGGUCUGGGAGGAAGGACUUUCUCCAGCAGACUGUCCCCAUCUGGUGUUGCCCCUCGUGUUGCACAGAAACACCUGGCUGUCUCGCAGGCGAACUCGUUGCUGUCACGCUCAUCGGGAACACCGAUGCUGCCUCACCGUGCCCUCUGUGCCAGGGAGGACGAGCCCAAGUGAGGA